UAAGUUUUUAUAAAGUUUUCCCGAAUUUUAAAGGGCUAAAAAUCUAUAAAUUUUAAUGUUAAAAAAUUAUUUAUAAUAGGUUUUUUGUAAUUAUAUGUUAGUCAUUCUUUAUUAUAUCUGGUUUUCUAAGAAAUUAAUUUAAUUAACCUAAGUAAGAAUUUUUUUUUUUGAAUUUAAUUAUUACUUCAGGAAUUUCUAAGGGGAUAAGCUUUUAGAAUAAUUAUUAUAAUAUUAGACAUUUUGUUUUAAAUAGGGUUAGAAGUUUUCAUUUUUGGCAGUGUGUUUUGACUGAAUCUAUGGUUAGUGUGAUUUUUUUUUAAUUAAAGUUUUUAUUAGAAUAAUAAAAUAAAUAUUAUACUUUAUGUAAUAAUGAUAGAAUUAGUAAAUAAGUGUGUAUAAGUUAUAAAAUUUGGUAAAAUUAUUUUAAGGAAUUCGGCAAAUUAAUUUUCCGCCUGUUUAAUAAAAACAUGUCUUUUUGGUUAUUAUUUAAAGUCCGACCUGCCCAAUGAUUUAUUUAAUGGCCGCGGUAUUUUGACCGUGCAAAGGUAGCAUAAUCAUUAGUUUUUUAAUUGAAAGCUGGAAUGAAUGGUUCGACGAGAAAAUGACUGUCUUAAAUUAAUAAAUUUGAAUUUUAUUUUUAAGUGAAAAAGCUUAAAUUUACAUGAGGGACGAGAAGACCCUAUAGAAUUUUAUUAUUUUUUUUUUAUAGUUAAGGUUUAGUGUUUUUAGUUUUAUAUUAGGAAAAUAGUUUUGUUGGGGCGAUAAAAAAAUAUAAUUAACUUUUUUUCUUCUUGAACACAAAUUAGUGUUUAAUUGAUCCAUUAUUAAUGAUUAUAAGAAUAAAUUACCUUAGGGAUAACAGCGUAAUUAAUUUGGAGAGUUCUUAUCGAUAAAUUAGAUUGCGACCUCGAUGUUGGAUUAAAAUUAACUUUUGGUGUAAGGGCUAAAAAAGUUAAGUCUGUUCGACUUUUAAAA
rnacentral:rRNA from 1 species